GGUUUAAGGUUUUUGGCGUUAGGAUUAAAAUCACUGUCCAAAACCUUUUUAGGAACAUGUUUCAGACCUUUUGGAGUUAGUAAGACCAAAAAAAAAGAACAAAGAAAAAAAAAAUUGGGGGUUUUCGGGCUUCCUGAUGGUAAUACCCGGGUAUUAGGUUUUGGGGCUAGGGUAAGGUUUAAGGUAUUUGGCGUUAGGGUUAAAAUCACUGUCCAAAACCUUUGUAGGAACUCUAUUCAAACCUUUUGGAGUUAGUUAGACCAUAAAAAUGUAAAAUGAAAAAAAUAUUUGAGGUUUUCGGGUUUCCUGAAGGUAAUACCCGGGUAUUUGGUUAUGGGGCUAUGGUUAGGUUUAAGGUUUUUGGCGUUAGGGUUAAAAUAACUGUCCAAAACCUUUGUAGGAACUCUUUUCCAACCUUUUGGAGUUAUUUAGACCAAAAAAAAAUGAAAAAUGAAAAAAAAUAUUUCGGGUUUUCAGUCUUCCUGAAGGUAAUACCCGGCUAUAAGGUUAUGGGGCUAGGGUAAGGUUUAAGGUUUUUGGCGUUAGGGUUAAAAUCACUGUCCAAAACCUUUGUAGGAACUCUUUUCCAACCUUUUGGAGUGAGUUAGACCAAAAAACAAAUGAAAAAUAAAAAUAAAAUAUAUAUAUUUGGGGUGUUCGGGCUUCCUGAAGGUAAUACCCGGGUAUAAGGUUAUGGGGCUAGGGUAAGGUUUAAGGUUUUUGGUGUUAGGGUUAAAAUCACUGUCCAAAACCUUUGUAGGAACUCUUUUCCAACCUUUUGGAGUUAGUUAGACCAAAAAAAAUGAAAAAUGAAAAAAAAAUAUUUGGGGUGUUCGGGCUUCCUGAAGGUAAUACCCGGGUAUCAGGUUAUGGGGCUUUGGAAACGUUUGAGUCUUUCGGCGUUAGGGUAAAAAUCACUGUCCAAAACCUUUGUAGGAACUCUUUUCCAACCUUUUGGAGUUAGUAAGACAAAAAAAAAUAAAAAUAAAAAUAUUUGGGGUGUUCGGGCUUCCUGAAGGUAAUACCCGGGUAUUAGGUUAUGGGGCUAGGGUAAGGUUUAAGGUUUUUGGCGUUAGGGUUAAAAUCACUGUCCAAAACCUUUUUAGGAACAUGUUUCAGACCUUUUGGAGUUAGUUAGACCAAAAAAAAGAAAAAAGAAAAAAAAUUUUGGGGGUUUUCGGGCUUCCUGAAGGUAAUACCCGGGUAUUAGGUUAUGGGGCUAGGGUAAGGUUAAAGGUUUUUGGCGUUAGGGUUAAAAUCACUGUCCAAAACCUUUGUAGGAACUCUAUUCAAACCUUUUGGAGUUAGUUAGACCAUAAAAAUGUAAAAUGAAAAAAAUAUUUGAGGUUUUCGGGUUUCCUGAAGGUAAUACCCGGGUAUUUGGUUAUGGGGCUAUGGUUAGGUUUAAGGUUUUUGGCGUUAGGGUUAAAAUAACUGUCCAAAACCUUUGUAGGAACUCUUUUCCAACCUUUUGGAGUUAUUUAGACCAAAAAAAAAUGAAAAAUGAAAAAAAAAUAUUUCGGGUUUUCAGUCUUCCUGAAGGUAAUACCCGGCUAUUAGGUAAUGGGGCUAUGGUAAGGUUUAAGGUUUUUGGCGUUAGGGUUAAAAUCACUGUCCAAAACCUUUAUAAGAACUCUUAUCCAACCUUUUGGAUUUAGUUUGACCAAAAAAAAAGAAAAAUGAAAAUAAAGUAUUUGGGGUGUUCGGGCUUCCUGAAGGUAAUACCCGGGUAUUAGGUUAUGGGGCUAGGGUAAGGUUUAAGGUUUUUGGCGUUAGGGUUAAAAUCACUGUGCAAAACCUUUGUAGGAACUCUAUUCAAACCUUUUGGAAUUAGUUAGACCAAAAAAAAAUAAAAAAUGAAAAAAAAAUAUUUGUGGUUUUCGGGCCUCCUGAAGGUAAUACCCGGGUAUAAGGUUUUGGGGCUAGGUUAAGGUUUAAGGUUUUUGGCGUUAGGGUUAAAAUCACUGUCCAAAACCUUUAUAAGAACUCUUAUCCAACCUUUUGGAUUUAGUUUGACCAAAAAAAAAGAAAAAUGAAAAUAAAGUAUUUGGGGUGUUCGGGCUUCCUGAAGGUAAUACCCGGGUAUUAGGUUAUGGGGCUAGGGUAAGGUUUAAGGUUUUUGGUGUUAGGGUUAAAAUCACUGUCCAAAACCUUUGUAGGAACUCUUUUCCAACCUUUUGGAGUUAGUUAGACCAAAAAAAAAGAAAAAUGAAAAAAAAAUAUUUGGGGUGUUCGGGCUUCGUGAAGGUAAUACCCGGGUAUCAGGUUUUGGGGCUAGGUUAAGGUUUAAGGUUUUUGGCGUUAGGGUUAAAAUCACUGUCCAAAACCUUUGUAGGAACUCUUUUCCAACCUUUUGGAAUUAGUUAGACCAAAAAAAAAUAAAAAAUGAAAAAAAAAUAUUUGUGGUUUUCGGGCCUCCUGAAGGUAAUACCCGGGUAUAAGGUUUUGGGGCUGGGGCUAGGUUAAGGUUUAAGGUUUUUGGCGUUAGGGUUAAAAUCACUGUCCAAAACCUUUGUAGGAACUCUUUUCCAACCUUUUGGAUUUAGUUUGACCAAAAAAGAAAAGAAAAAUGAAAAUAGAAUAUUUGGGGUGUUCGGGCUUCCUGAAGGUAAUACCCGGGUAUUAGGUUAUGGGGCUAGGGUAAGGUUUAAGGUUUUUGGCGUUAGGGUUAAAAUCACUGUCCAAAACCUUAUUAGGAACAUGUUCCAGACCUUUUGGAAUUAGUUAGACCAAAAAUAAACGAAAAAUGGAAAAAAAAUAUUUGGGGUGUUCGGGCUUCCUGAAGGUAAUACCCGGGUAUCAGGUUUUGGGGCUAGGUUAAGGUUUAAGGUUUUUGGCGUUAGGGUUAAAAUCACUGUCCAAAACCUUUGUAGGAACUCUAUUCAAACCUUUUGGAGUUAGUUAGACCAAAAAAAAAUAAAAAAUGAAAAAAAAAUAUUUGUGGUUUUCGGGCCUCCUGAAGGUAAUACCCGGGUAUAAGGUUUUGGGGCUAGGUUAAGGUUUAAGGUUUUUGGCGUUAGGGUUAAAAUCACUGUCCAAAACCUUUGUAAGAACUCUUAUCCAACCUUUUGGAUUUAGUUUGACCAAAAAAAAAGAAAAAUGAAAAUAAAAUAUUUGGGGUGUUCGGGCUUCCUGAAGGUAAUACCCGGGUAUUAGGUUAUGGGGCUAGGGUAAGGUUUAAGGUUUUUGGUGUUAGGGUUAAAAUCACUGUCCAAAACCUUUGUAGGAACUCUUUUCCAACCAUUUGGAGUUAGUUAGACCAAAAAAAAAGAAAAAUGAAAAAAAAAUAUUUGGGGUGUUCGGGCUUCCUGAAGGUAAUACCCGGGUAUCAGGUUUUGGGGCUAGGUUAAGGUUUAAGGUUUUUGGCGUGAGGGUUAAAAUCACUGUGCAAAACCUUUGUAGGAACUCUUUUCCAACCUUUUGGAAUUAGUUAGACCAAAAAAAAAAUAAAAAAUGAAAAAAAAAUAUUUGUGGUUUUCGGGCGUCCUGAAGGUAAUACCCAGGUAUAAGGUUUUGGGGCUAGGGUAAGGUUUAAGGUUUUUGGUGUUAGGGUUAAAAUCACUGUCCAAAACCUUUGUAGGAACUCUUUUCCAACCAUUUGGAGUUAGUUAGACCAAAAAAAAAGAAAAAUGAAAAAAAAAUAUUUGGGGUGUUCGGGCUUCCUGAAGGUAAUACCCGGGUAUCAGGUUUUGGGGCUAGGUUAAGGUUUAAGGUUUUUGGCGUGAGGGUUAAAAUCACUGUCCAAAACCUUUGUAGGAACUCUUUUCCAACCUUUUGGAAUUAGUUAGACCAAAAAAAAAUAAAAAAUGAAAAAAAAAUAUUUGUGGUUUUCGGGCCUCCUGAAGGUAAUACCCGGGUAUAAGGUUUUGGGGCUGGGGCUAGGUUAAGGUUUAAGGUUUUGGGGCGUUAGGGUUAAAAUCACUGUCCAAAACCUUUAUAAGAACUCUUUUCCAACCUUUUGGAUUUAGUUUGACCAAAAAAAAAGAAAAAUGAAGAUAAAAUAUUUGGGGUGUUCGGGCUUCCUGAAGGUAAUACCCGGGUAUUAGGUUAUGGGGCUAGGGUAAGGUUUAAGGUUUUUGGCGUUAGGGUUAAAAUCACUGUCCAAAACCUUUUUAGGAACAUGUUUCAGACCUUUUGGAAUUAGUUAGACCAAAAAUAAACGAAAAAUGGAAAAAAAAUAUUUGGGGUGUUCGGGCUUCCUGAAGGUAAUACCCGGGUAUUAGGUUUUGGGGCUAGGGUAAGGUUUAAGGUUUUUGGCGUGAGGGUUAAAAUCAGUGUCCAAAACCUUUGUAGGAACUCUUUUCCAACCCUUUCGGAGUUAGUUAGACCAAAAAAAAAAUGAAAAAUGAAAAAAAAAAUAUUUGGGGUUUUCGGGCUUCCUGAAGGUAAUACCCGGGUAUUAGGGUUAUGGGGCUAGGGUAAGGUUUAAGGUUUUUGGCGUGAGGGUUAAAAUCACUGUCCAAAACCUUUGUAGGAACUCUUUUCCAACCUUUUGGAGUUAGUUAGACCUAAAAAAAAAGAAAAAUGAAAAAAAAAUAUUUGGGGUGUUCGGGCUUCCUGAAGGUAAUACCCCGGUAUUAGGUUUUGGGGCUAGGGUAAGGUUUAAGUUUUUUGGCGUGAGGGUUAAAAUCACUGUCCAAAACCUGUGUAGGAACUCUUUUCCAACCUUUUGGAGUUAGUUAGACCUAAAAAAAAAGAAAAAUUAAAAAAAACUAUUUGGGGUGUUCGAGCUUCCUGAAGGUAAUACCCGGGUAUUAGGUUUUGGGGCUAGGGUAAGGUUUAAGGUUUUUGGCGUGAGGGUUAAAAUCACUGUCCAAAACCUUUGUAGGAACUCUUUUCCAACCUUUUGGAGUUAGUUAGACCAAAAAAAAACGAAAAAUGAAAAAAAAAUAUUUGGGGUUUUCGGGCUUCCUGAAGGUAAUACCCAGGUAUUAGGUUAUGGGGCUAGGGUAAGGUUCAAGGUUUUUGGCGUUAGAGUUAAAAUCACUGUCCAAAACCUUUGUAAGAACUCUUUUCCAACCUUUUGGAGUAAGUUAGACCAAAAAAAAAUGAAAAAUGAAAAAAAAAAUUUGUGGUUUUCGGGCCUCCUGAAGGUAAUACCCGGGUAUCAGGUUUUGGGGCUAGGUUAAGGUUUAAGGUUUUUGGCGUUAGGGUUAAAAUCACUGUCCAAAACCUUUAUACGAACUCUUUUCCAACCUUUUGGAUUUAGUUUGACCAAAAAAAAAAGAAAAAUGAAAAUAAAAUAUUUGGGGUGUUCGGGCUUCCUGAAGGUAAUACCCCGGUAUUAGGUUUUGGGGCUAGGGUAAGGUUUAAGUUUUUUGGCGUGAGGGUUAAAAUCACUGUCCAAAACCUUUGUAGGAACUCUUUUCCAACCCUUUCGGAGUUAGUUAGACCAAAAAAAAAACGAAAAAUGAAAAAAAAUAUUUGGGGUGUUCGGGCUUCCUGAAGGUAAUACCCGGGUAUUAGGUUUUGGGGCUAGGGUAAGGUUUAAGUUUUUUGGCGUGAGGGUUAAAAUCACUGUCCAAAACCUUUGUAGGAACUCUUUUCCAACCUUUUGGAGUUAGUUAGACCAAAAAAAAAUGAUUAAUUAAAAAAAAAAAUAUUUGGGGUGUUCGGGCUUCCUUAUUAGUAUUAGUUUAUGGGGCUUUGGAAAGGUUUAAGGUUUUUGGCAUUAGGGUUAAAAUCACUGUCCAAACCCUUUAUAGGAACUCUUUUCCAACCUUUUGGAGUUAGUUAGACCAAAAAAAAAAUUUAAAAAAGGAAAAAAAAAUUUGGGGUGUUCGGGCUUCCUGAAGGUAAUACCCGGGUAUUAGGUUAUGAGGCUUUGGAAAGGUUUAAGGUUUUUGGCGUUAGGGUUAAAAUCACUGUCCAAAACCUUUGUAGGAACUCUUUUCCAACCUUUUGGAGUUAGUUAGACCAAAAAAAAACGAAAAAUGAAAUAAAUUUUUUUUGGGGUGUAAAGGCUUCCUGAAGGUAAUACCCUUUUAUUAGGUUAUGGGGCUAGGGUAAGGUUUAAGGUUUUUUGGCGUUAGAGUUAAAAUUACUGUCCAAAACCUUUGUAAGAACUCUUUUCCAACCUUUUGGAGUAAGUUAGACCAAAAAAAAAUGAAAAAUGAAAAAAAAAUAUUUGUGGUUUUCGGGCCUCCUGAAGGUAAUACCCGGGUAUCAGGUUUUGGGGCUAGGUUAAGGUUUAAGGUUUUUGGCGUGAGGGUUAAAAUCACUGUCCAAAACCUUUGUAGGAACUCUUUUCCAACCCUUUCGGAGUUAGUUAGACCAAAAAAAAACGAAAAAUGAAAAAAAAAUAUUUGGGGUUUUCGGGCUUCCUGAAGGUAAUACCCGGGUAUUAGGUUUUGGGGCUAGGGUAAGGUUUAAGUUUUUUGGCGUGAGGGUUAAAAUCACUGUCCAAAACCUUUGUAGGAACUCUUUUCCAACCUUUUGGAGUUAGUUAGACCAAAAAAAAAUGAUUAAUUAAAAAAAAAAAUAUUUGGGGUGUUCGGGCUUCCUUAUUAGUAUUAGUUUAUGGGGCUUUGGAAAGGUUUAAGGUUUUUGGCAUUAGGGUUAAAAUCACUGUCCAAACCCUUUAUAGGAACUCUUUUCCAACCUUUUGGAGUUAGUUAGACCAAAAAAAAAAUUAAAAAAAGGGAAAAAAAAAUUGGGGGUUUUCGGGCUUCCUGAAGGUAAUACCCGGGUAUUAGGUUAUGGGGCUAGGGUAAGGUUUAAGGUUUUUGGCGUGAGGGUUAAAAUCACUGUCCAAAACCUUUGUAGGAACUCUUUUCCAACCUUUUGGAGUUAGUUAGACCAAAAAAAAAGAUAAUAGAAAAAAAAAUAGUUGGGGAUUUCGCGCUUCCUGAAGGUAAUACCCGGGUAUUAGGUUAUGGGGCUAUGGUAAGGUUUAAGGUUUUUAUUGUUAGGGUUAAAAUCACUGUCCAAAACCUUUGUAGGAACUCUUUUCCAACCUUUUGGAGUUAGUUAGACAAGAAAAAAAGGAAAAAUGAAAAAAAAAUGUUUGGGGUUUUCGGGCUUCCUGAAGGUAAUACCCGGGUAUUAGGUUAUGGGGCUAGGGUAAGGUUCAAGGUUUUUGGCGUUAGAGUUAAAAUUACUGUCCAAAACCUUUUAGGAACAAAUUUCAAACCUUUUGGAGUUAGUUAGACCAAAAAAAAACGAAAAAUGAAAAAAAAAAUAUUUGGGGUGUUCGGGCUUCCUGAAGGUAAUACCCCGGUAUUAGGUUUUGGGGCUAGGGUAAGGUUUAAGGUUUUUGGCGUUAGGGUUAAAAUCACUGUCCAAAACCUUUGUAGGAACUCUUUUCCAACCUUUUGGAGUUAGUUAGACCAAAAAAUAACGAAAAAUGAAAAAAAAAAAAAAUUUGGGGUGUUCGGCCUUCCUGAAGGUAAUACCCCGGUAUUAGGUUUUGGGGCUAGGGUAAGGUUUAAGGUUUUUGGCGUUAGGGUUAAAAUCACUGUCCAAAACCUUUGUAGGAACUCUUUUCCAACCUUUUGGAGUUAGUUAGACCAAAAAAAAAACAAAAAUGAAAAAAAAAAUAUUUGGGGUUUUCGGGCUUCCUGAAGGUAAUACCCGGGUAUUAGGUUAUGGGGCUAGGGUAAGGUUUAAGGUUUUUGGCGUUAGGGUUAAAAUCACUGUCCAAAACCUUUGUAGGAACUCUUUUCCAACCUUUUGGAGUUAGUUAGACCAAAAAAAAAUGAAAAAUUAAAAAAAAUAUAUUUGGGGUGUUCGGGCUUCCUUAUUAGUAUUAGUUUAUGGGGCUUUGGAAAGGUUUAAGGUUUUUGGCAUUAGGGUUAAAAUCACUGUCCAAAACCUUUGUAAGAAUUCUUUUCCAAACAUUUUGGAGUAAGUUAGACCAAAAAAAAAAAUGAAAAAGGAAAAAAAAAUUGGGGGUUUUCGGGCUUCCUGAAGGUAAUACCCGGGUAUUAGGUUAUGAGGCUUUGGAAAGGUUUAAGGUUUUUGGCGUUAGGGUUAAAAUCACUGUCCAAAACCUUUGUAGGAACUCUUUUCCAACCUUUUGGAGUUAGUUUGACCAAAAAAUUAAAAAUGAAAAAAAUUUUUUUGGGGGUGUAAAGGCUUCCUGAAGGUAAUACCCUUGUAUUAGGUUAUGGGGCUAGGGUAAGGUUUAAGGUUUUUUGGCGUUUGGGUUGAAAUCACUGUCCAAAACCUUUGUAGAAACUCGUUUCCAACCUUUUGGAGUUAGUUAGACCAAAAAAAAAUGAAAAAUGAAAAAAAAAUAUUUGGGUUGUUCGGGCUUCCUGAAGGUAAUUCAUGUAUUAGGUUAUGGGUUUAGGGUAAGGUUUAAGGUUUUUUGCGUUUGGGUUAAAAUCAGUGUCCAAAACCUUUGUAGGAACUCGUUUCCAACCUUUUGGAGUUAGACCAAAAAAAAAUGAAAAAUGAAAAAAAUAUAUUUGGGUUGUUUGUACUUCCUGACGGUAAUUCCCGGGUAUUAGGUUAUGGGGCUAGGGUAAGGUUUAAGGUUUUUGGCGUGAGGGUUAAAAUCACUGUCCAAAACCUUUGUAGGAACUCUUUUCCAACCUUUUGGAGUUAGUUAGACCAAAAAAAAAAAUGAAAAAGGAAAAAAAAAUUGGGGGUUUUCGGGCUUCCUGAAGGUAAUACCCGGUAUUAGGUUAUGAGGCUUUGGAAAGGUUUAAGGUUUUUGGCGUUAGGGUUAAAAUCACUGUCCAAAACCUUUGUAGGAACUCUUUUCCAACCUUUUGGAGUUAGUUUGACCAAAAAAUUAAAAAUGAAAUAAAUUUUUUUUGGGGUGUAAAGGCUUCCUGAAGGUAAUUCCCGGGUAUUAGGUUAUGGGGCUAGGGUAAGGUUUAAGGUUUUUGGCGUGAGGGUUAAAAUCACUGUCCAAAACCUUUGUAGGAACUCUUUUCCAACCUUUUGGAGUUAGUUAGACCAAAAAAAAAGAUAAAAAAAAAAAAUAGUUGGGGAUUUCGCGCUUCCUGAAGGUAAUACCCGGGUAUUAGGUUUUGGGGCUAGGGUAAGGUUUAAGGUUUUUGGCGUUAGGGUUAAAAUCACUGUCCAAAACCUUUGUAGGAACUCUUUUCCAACCUUUUGGAGUUAGUUAGACAAGAAAAAAAGGAAAAAUGAAAAAACAAUAUUUGUGGUUUUCGGGCAUCCUGAAGGUAAUACCCGGGUAUUAGGUUUUGGGGCUAGGGUAAGGUUUAAGGUUUUUGGCGUUAGGGUUAAAAUCACUGUCCAAAACCUUUGUAGGAACUCUUUUCCAACCUUUUGGCGUUAGUUAGACCAAAAAAAAAACAAAAAAUAAUAAUAAAAUUUUUUUGGGGGUGGUAGGGCUUCCUUUAGGUAAUAACCGGGUAUUAGGUUUUGGGGCUAGGGUAAGGUUUAAGGUUUUUGGCGUGAGGGUUAAAAUCACUGUCCAAAACCUUUGUAGGAACUCUUUUCCAACCUUUUGGAGUUAGUUAGACCAAAAAAAAAACAAAAAUGAAAAAAAAAAUAUUUGGGGUUUUCGGGCUUCCUGAAGGUAAUACCCGGGUAUUAGGUUAUGGGGCUAGGGUAAGGUUUAAGGUUUUUGGCGUUAGAGUUAAAAUUACUGUCCAAAACCUUUUUAGGAACAUGUUUCAGACCUUUUGGAAUUAGUUAGACCAAAAAAUAAAGAAAAAUGAAAAAAAAAAAAAAAUUGGGGGUGUUCGGCCUUCCUGAAGGUAAUACCCCGGUAUUAGGUUUUGGGGCUAGGGUAAGGUUUAAGGUUUUUGGCGUUAGGGUUAAAAUCACUGUCCAAAACCUUUAUAGGAACUCUUUUCCAACCUUUUGGAGUUAGUUAGACCAAAAAAAAACCAAAAAUGAAAAAAAAAAUAUUUGGGGUCUUCGGGGUUCCUGAAGGUGUUACCCGGGUAUUGGGUUUUGGGGCUAGGGUAAGGUUUAAGGUUUUUGGCGUUAGGGUUAAAAUCACUGUCCAAAACCUUUGUAGGAACUCUUUUCCAACCUUUUGGAGUUAGUUAGACCAAAAAAAAUGAUUAAUUAAAAAAAAAAUAUUUGGGGUGUUCGGGCUUCCUUAUUAGUAUUAGUUUAUGGGGCUUUGGAAAGGUUUAAGGUUUUUGGCAUUAGGGUUAAAAUCACUGUCCAAAACCUUUAUAAGAACUCUUUUCCAACCUUUUGGAGUUAGUUAGACCAAAAAAAAAAUGAAAAAGGAAAAAAAAAUUGGGGGUUUUCGGGCUUCCUGAAGGUAAUACCCGGGUAUUAGGUUAUGAGGCUUUGGAAAGGUUUAAGGUUUUUGGCGUGAGGGUUAAAAUCACUGUCCAAAACCUUUGUAGGAACUCUUUUCCAACCUUUUGGAGUUAGUUAGACCAAAAAAAAUGAUUAAUUAAAAAAAAUAUAUUUGGGGUGUUCGGGCUUCCUUAUUAGUAUUAGUUUAUGGGGCUUUGGAAAGGUUUAAGGUUUUUGGCGUUAGGGUUAAAAUCACUGUCCAAAACCUUUGUAGGAACUCUUUUCCAACCUUUUGGAGUUAGUUAGACCAAAAAAAAAAAUGAAAAAGUAAAAAAAAAUUGGGGGUUUUCGGGCUUCCUGAAGGUAAUACCCGGGUAUUAGGUUAUGAGGCUUUGGAAAGGUUUAAGGUUUUUGGCGUUAGGGUUAAAAUCACUGUCCAAAACCUUUGUAGGAACUCUUUUCCAACCUUUUGGAGUUAGUUUGACCAAAAAAUUAAAAAUGAAAUAAAUUUUUUUGGGGGUGUAAAGGCUUCCUGAAGGUAAUACCCUUGUAUUAGGUUAUGGGGCUAGGGUAAGGUUUAAGGUUUUUUGGCGUUUGGGUUGAAAUCACUGUCCAAAACCUUUGUAGAAACUCGUUUCCAACCUUUUGGAGUUAGUUAGACCAAAAAAAAAUGAAAAAUGAAAAAAAAAUAUUUGGGUUGUUCGGGCUUCCUGAAGGUAAUACCCGGGUAUUAGGUUAUGGGGCUAGGGUAAGGUUUAAGGUUUUUGGCGUUUGGGUUGAAAUCACUGUCCAAAACCUUUGUAGGAACUCUUUUCCAACCUUUUGGAGUUAGUUAGACCAAAAAAAUGAUAAAAGAAAAAAAAAUAGUUGGGGAUUUCGCGCUUCCUUAAGGUAAUACCCCGGUAUUAGGUUAUGGGGCUAUGGUAAGGUUUAAGGUUUUUAGUGUUAGGGUUAAAAUCACUGUCCAAAACCUUUGUAGGAACUCUUUUCCAACCUUUUGGAGUUAGUUAGACAAGAAAAAAAGGAAAAAUGAAAAAACAAUAUUUGGGGUUUUCGGGCUUCCUGAAGGUAAUACCCGGGUAUUAGGUUUUGGGGCUAGGGUAAGGUUGAAGGUUUUUGGCGUUAGGGUUAAAAUCACUGUCCAAAACCUUUGUAGGAACUCGUUUCCAACCUUUUGGAGUUAGUUACACCAAAAAAAAGUGAAAAAUAAAAAAAAAUAUUUGGGGUGUUCGGGCUUCCUGAAGGUAAUACCCGGGUAUUAGGUUUUGGGGCUAGGGUAAGGUUUAAGGUUUUUGGCGUUAGGGUUAAAAUCACUGUCCAAAACCUUUUUAGGAACUCUUUUCCAACCUUUUGGAGUUAGUUUGACUAAAAAAUAACGAAAAAUGAAAAAAAAAUAUUUGGGGUGUUCGGGCUUCCUGAAGGUAAUACCCGGGUAUUAGGUUUUGGGGCUAGGGUAAGGUUUAAGGUUUUUGGCGUUAGGGUUAAAAUCACUGUCCAAAACCUUUGUAGGAACUCUUUUCAAACUUUUUGAGUUAGUUAGACCAAAAAAAAAAGAACAAAGAAAAAAAAAAUUGGGGGUUUUCAAGCUUCCUGAUGGUAAUACCCGGGUAUUAGGUUUUGGGGCUAGGGUAAGGUUUAAGGUAUUUGGCGUUAGGGUUAAAAUCACUGUCCAAAACCUUUGUAGGUACAAGUUUCAGACCUUUUGGAGACAGUUACACCAAAAAAAUGUAAAAUGAAAAAAAUAUUUGAGGUGUUCGGGCUUCCUGAAGGUAAUACCCGGGUAUUUGGUUAUGGGGCUAUGGUUAGGUUUAAGGUUUUUGGCGUUAGGGUUAAAAUCACUGUCCAAAACCUUUGUAGGAACUCUUUUCCAACCUUUUGGAGUUAGUUAGACCAAAAAAAAAUGAAAAAUGAAAAAAAAAAAUUUGGGGUUUUACGGGCUUCCUGAAGGUAAUACCCGGGUAUUAGGUUAUGGGGCGUGGGAAAGGUUUAAGGUUUUUGGUGUUAGAGAUAAAAUCAGUGUCCAAAACCUUUUUAGGAACAUGUUUCAGACCUUUUGGAGUUAGUUAGACCAAAAAAUAACGAAAAAUGAAAAAAAAAUAUUUGGGGUGUUCGGGCUUUCUGAAGGUAAUACCCGGUUAUGGGGGUAUGGGGCUAUGGUAAGGUUUAAGGGAUUUUGGCGUUAGGGUUAAAAUCACUGUCCAAAACCUUUGUAGGAACUCUUUUCCAACCUUUUGGAGUUAGUUAGACCAAAAAAAAAGAAAAAUGAAAAAGAAAUAUUUGGGGUGUUCGGGCUUCCUGAAAGUAAUACCCGGGUAUUAGGUUUUGGGGCUAUGGUAAGGUUUAAGGUUUUUGGCGUGAGGGUUAAAAUCACUGUCCAAAACCUUUUUAGGAACAUGUUUCAGACCUUCUGGAGUUGGUUACACCAAAAAAAAUGUAAAAUGAAAAAAAUAUAUUUGGGGUGUUCAGGCUUCCUGAAGGUAAUAACCGGGUAUUAGGUCAUGGGGCGUGGGUAAGGUUUAAGGUUUUUGGUGUGAGGGUAAAAAUCACUGUCCAAAACCUUUGUAGGAACUCUUUUCCAACCUUUUGGAGUUAGUUACACCAAAA